rnacentral:rRNA from 1 species
CGUGCCAGCAGCCGCGGUAAUACGUAGGUCCCGAGCGUUGUCCGGAUUUAUUGGGCGUAAAGCGAGCGCAGGCGGUUUAAUAAGUCUGAAGUUAAAGGCAGUGGCUUAACCAUUGUUCGCUUUGGAAACUGUUAGACUUGAGUGCAGAAGGGGAGAGUGGAAUUCCAUGUGUAGCGGUGAAAUGCGUAGAUAUAUGGAGGAACACCGGUGGCGAAAGCGGCUCUCUGGUCUGUAACUGACGCUGAGGCUCGAAAGCGUGGGGAGCAAACAGGAUUAGAUACCCUGGUAGUCCACGCCGUAAACGAUG